rnacentral:rRNA from 1 species
UCCUGCCAGUAGUCAUAUGCUUGUCUCAAAGACUAAGCCAUGCAUGUGCAAGUAUGAACGCAUCUGCACCGUGAAACUGCGAAUGGCUCAUUAAAUCAGUUAUAGUUUAUUUGAUGGUGCCCCGCUACAUGGAUAACCGUGGUAAUCCUAGAGCUAAUACAUGCAGAGGGUCCCGACUCUCGGAAGGGAUGUAUUUAUUAGAUCCAAAACCAAUGCCGGGACUUCGGUCCCGGGAAGCUGGUGAUUCAUGGUAACUGCUCGAAUCGCACGGCCCUCGCGCCGGCGAUGAUUCAUUCAAGUUUCUGCCCUAUCAACUUUCGAUGGUAGGGUAUUGGCCUACCAUGGUCGCAACGGGUGACGGAGAAUUAGGGUUCGAUUCCGGAGAGGGAGCCUGAGAAACGGCUACCACAUCCAAGGAAGGCAGCAGGCGCGCAAAUUACCCAAUCCCGACUCGGGGAGGUAGUGACAAUAAAUAACAAUGCCGGCCUCUUGAGUAGGCCGGCAAUUGGAAUGAGUACAAUCCAAACCCCUUAACGAGGAACAAUUGGAGGGCAAGUCUGGUGCCAUGCAGCCGCGGUAACUAGCCAAUAGCGUAUAUUAAAGUUGUUCAUGCAGUUAAAAAGCUCGUAGUUGGAUUUCGGAGCCGACCGGGCGGUCUGUCGAGAGACACGCACUGCUCGGUGGCUCUUCCUCUCGGAGGCCCUGGCUGCCCUUAACUGGAGCGGGCAGGGGAUUCGGGACGUUUACUUUGAAAAAAUUAGAGUGUUCAAAGCAGGCCGGUGCUUGGAUACAUUAGCAUGGAAUAAUGGAAUAGGGCUUGGGUCCUAUUUUGUUGGUUUUCGGGACCGAGGUCAUGGUUAAGAGGGACAGUUGGGGGCAUUCGUAUUCAAUUGUCAGAGGUGAAAUUCUUGGAUUUAUGGAAGACGAAAUUAUGCGAAAGCAUUUGCCAAGGAUGUUUUCAUUAAUCAAGAACGAAAGUUGGGGGUUCGAAGACGAUCAGAUACCGUCGUAGUCCCAACCAUAAACUAUGCCGGCUAGGGAUCGGCGGAG